rnacentral:rRNA from 1 species
UGGCGGCGUGCCUAAUACAUGCAAGUCGAACGGUCUUUCUAUGGAAGCUUGCUUCCACUGAGAAGAUAGUGGCGAACGGGUGAGUAACACGUGGGUAACCUGCCCAUAAGAGGGGGAGUAACAUCCGGAAACGGGUGCUAAUACCGCAUAGUUUUCUUGAUCGCAUGAUCGGGAAAGGAAAGACGGCCUUUGUGCUGUCGCUUAUGGAUGGACCCGCGGCGUAUUAGUUAGUUGGUGAGGUAACGGCUCACCAAGACGAUGAUACGUAGCCGACCUGAGAGGGUGAUCGGCCACAUUGGGACUGAGACACGGCCCAAACUCCUACGGGAGGCAGCAGUAGGGAAUCUUCCGCAAUGGACGAAAGUCUGACGGAGCAACGCCGCGUGAGUGAAGAAGGUUUUCGGGAAUCGUAAAACUCUGUUGUCAGAGAAGAACAAGUUGGAGAGUAACUGCUCCAGCCUUGACGGUAUCUGACCAGAAAGCCACGGCUAACUACGUGCCAGCAGCAGC